CGUUGAACAGCUGCAGCUCGUAUCAAGUCCGUAUUUUAUAUUUUAAACUGCUAGCUACACACCUAUGCUUAAAUCCAAACGGACUAAACCAAGUGGAAACGCUUUGGUAGAUGCCACGUGCAAAGUCAUGCCACCAUCAAUGGGAAUGGCACAUUGGACACGUGGCUUUCAACUCCAGCGAGGUGGCGGCACGGAUCUCUGCAUGUCUGACUGACAUCUCCCAGUGGAUGUCCGCCCAUCACCUGAAGAUCAACCCCGACAAGACUGAACUACUUCUCUUCCCUGGAAAAAACUCGCCCACUCAGGACCUGACUGUUAACUUUGGCGAACACCGUUAACAUCAGGAGAAUACGACCCCUUCUCACUCAGAAGGCGGCGCAGGUACAGAUUCAGGCUCUUGUCAUCUCUCGCCUCGACUACUGUAACUCUCUGCUGGCGGGUCUCCCUGCUACCGCCAUACGACCACUGCAGCUCAUCCAGAAUGCAGCAGCUCGACUGGUCUUCAACCUUCUGAAAUACUCCCACACCACACCGCUUCUCCGUUCUCUUCAUUGGUUACUAGUGGCUCCCCGCAUCCAGUUCAAAGCAUUGGUACUGACGUACCACGCUGUGAAUGGAUCGGGACCAGUCUACAUCCGGGACAUGGUUAAACCCUACAUCCCAACCCACACACUCCGAUCUGCAUCUGCCACGCUGCUUGUUCCUCCCUCACUGAGAGAAAAGCACUCGACGAGAUCGCGACUCUUUGCUGUCCUGGCUCCCAGAUGGUGGAACGAGCUCUCUGAUGACAUCAGGACUGCAGAGAGCCUCUCCAUCUUCCGUCGAAAACUCAAGACACACCUUUUUAGACUCUACCUUGACUAAAACACUAGCAAACCGUAGCACUAACAAAUGGUAGCACUUAAAUUGUACUUAUAAUGCCACUUAUCUUUAACAUGUUUUGGGCGGUGAUUUAUUCAGUCAUGUUUAGUCAUAUUUUGUUUUUUUUACUUGUCAAUAUGGUUUGGUACAUGCCGAGUUAAUCAAUACACAUUCUAAAGUGCAACGUCCAUAUGUGAAUAAGAGUUGUAUACGUUUAUCAUAGUCAACAUGGUGUGGAAAUAUCCCUUAUGUAGUUGGUCAAUAGGAACUAUAGUAGGCAGAAAUAACAGCUAAGGUAAUUACAGGUGGAUAUUUCUGGGAAUUAACCUUGAUUGAGACUGCAUCUAUGAUAUCUAAGAUAUACAGGACAAGAAAAAUGCACUGGAUGUGUAUAUGUGUUGAAUCAAUUAUACAGACGCAAACUGGAGAACGAGACAAGUGUUGCUGUGAUACUUAUUGUGGUCAUCGUGCCCGAGACCCGUAACAAUUACUCCGCAGGUCUUUUGCAGCGGGGCAACAGCCCGGCGUCGGUGGAUUCCGUUCGCGAGGCCGCAGAUUCAGGUUUGAAUGGAAGCCCCGAGAGUGAUUUGUUUAGUCUCUUUAGUCUUUUUUGACCCGCGAGCCCGGCCGACCGCCGCCCCACCCCGACGUGCGAGAAUAGGCGAAGGCCCGUUCAUCGCUGCUUGCAGCUUUAAUUAGGGCCUGAGCCGACUGCAAGUCGGGCGAAAGCCCUAUUGAAAUUGCAAGAAUUUUUCUU